rnacentral:tRNA from 1 species
GGAGAGAUGUCCGAGCGGUUGAAGGAGCGCGCUUGGAAAGCGCGUGUAUGCCCACAAGGUGUACCGAGGGUUCGAAUCCCUCUCUCUCCGCCA